GACAGAGGGUGCAAACGUUUGUUCGGAAUUACUGGGCGUAAAGCGCGUGUAGGCUGCUCUGCAAGUCGGAUGUGAAAGCCCUGGGCUCAACCUAGGAAGUGCACUCGAAACUGCGGAGCUCGAGUCUCGGAGAGGAUCGCGGAAUUCUCGGUGUAGAGGUGAAAUUCGUAGAUAUCGAGAGGAACACCGGUGGCGAAGGCGGCGUCUGGACGAUGACUGACGUGAGACGCGAAAGCGUGGGGGAGCAAAACAGG
rnacentral:rRNA from 1 species